GACGAACGCUGGCGGCGUGCUUAACACAUGCAAGUCGAACGGAAAGGCCCUGCUUGCAGGGUACUCGAGUGGCGAACGGGUGAGUAACACGUGGGUGAUCUGCCCUGCACUUCGGGAUAAGCCUGGGAAACUGGGUCUAAUACCGGAUAGGAGCCAUUUUUAGUGUGAUGGUUGGAAAGUUUUUUCGGUGUAGGAUGAGCUCGCGGCCUAUCAGCUUGUUGGUGGGGUAAUGGCCUACCAAGGCGGCGACGGGGAGCCGGCCUGAGAGGGUGGACGGCCACGUUCGGACUGGGAUACGGCCCAGACCCCUACGGGAGGCAGCAGUGGGGAAGAGUGCACAAUGGGCGCAAGCCUGAUGCAGCGACGCCGCGGGGGGGAGGACGGCCUUCGGGUUGUAAACGCCUUUCGCUAGGGACGAAGCUUUUUGUGACGGUACCUAGAUAAGAAGCACCGGCUAACUACGUG
rnacentral:rRNA from 1 species